rnacentral:rRNA from 1 species
UAGGGAAUCUUCGGCAAUGGGGGGAACCCUGACCGAGCAACGCCGCGUGAGUGAAGAAGGUUUUCGGAUCGUAAAGCUCUGUUGUUAAGGAAGAACGUGUGUGAGAGUGGAAAGUUCACACAGUGACGGUACUUAACCAGAAAGGGACGGCUAACUACGUGCCAGCAGCCGCGGUAAUACGUAGGUCCCGAGCGUUGUCCGGAUUUAUUGGGCGCAAAGCGAGCGCAGGCGGUUAGAUAAGUCUGAAGUGAAAGGCAGUGGCUCAACCAUUGUAGGCUUUGGAAACUGUUUAACUUGAGUGCAGAAGGGGAGAGUGGAAUUCCAUGUGUAGCGGUGAAAUGCGUAGAUAUAUGGAGGAACACCGGUGGCGAAAGCGGCUCUCUGGUCUGUAACUGACGCUGAGGCUCGAAAGCGUGGGGAGCGAACAGGAUUAGAUACCCUGGUAGUCCACGCCGUAAACGAUGAGUGCUAGGUGUUAGGUCCUUUCCGGGACUUAGUGCCGCAGCUAACGCAUUAAGCACUCCGCCUGGGGAGUACGACCGCAAGGUUG